rnacentral:rRNA from 2 species
AGUGCAGCAAUGCAUGGAGCUGACUGUUACUAAUCGGGUGAGGGCUUGACCAAAA